ensembl:lncRNA
CCAAACCGCUUUGCGGAGAGGUCGAGCUGAAAGGGAACUCUGCUGAGGUGUUUGUGACACGGAGGGUGAUCUGAUGGUCCCGCUGCUCGCGUUUCUAACAGACAGUUGGAUGCACACAACCACAACCCAGAGGUGCAGCACAAUGAAAUGGGAUUAUUUUGAAUCCCUGUCACUGGCUUGGCACGACCUGGUAAUCCUCCCGCUCUGCCCGAGGUUCCCGCUCUGCCGCAGAGGCAGAAGAAUACCGACAACUUGGGGGAUUCAAACGGCAUCGAAGGCCAGUGCCGGUACGGAGCCCUGACGGCUGCCCGUGGAGUACUACAACGAGAGAAACGCAGCCCGUUCCAAAGACGUCUGCACUGCGGGAGUGGAACGGGUGCACCUGAGGCUAAACAUGCGCUCCUCCACCAAAAACCCCUGGCCGACAGAAAUGGGGAUAUUGCAUGUUGUGGUGGAGUGACUCCCGAAGGAGAAGCCGUCCUGCAGAAACCUCAAACGUGUCCAGAGACCUGACCUCCCGCUGGUCAUCUACCUAAUGUGAGCAGAGGGACGGCGUGACAUCGGCGGGGGUUACGACAGCGUGGGGAAUGGAGGAGGACACGUACCGUGGUGAGUAUCAUUCAUUCACACAGACUCUCCUGCAGCAACUCAAACAACGGCCCUCUUCCGUCCACCUGAUUCACGCCUGUCAUAACUGUGUGUGUUUUGUACCGCAAAAAACAACGACAGAGCGGGAGAAAGCUGAAUCCGACUUUGUAACCAGUCUUUUUUUGGUGGAGACCCUCUUCAAUGUUCUCCUGUGAGCGAGUGUGUUUUAAGGGAAUGAAGAGC